rnacentral:tRNA from 1 species
CAGGGCCAUAGUUUAAACAAAAUAUUAACAUUGGAAGUUAAGGAUUAGAAUUAAAAUCUAUGCCCUGA